CAGAAACUAGCCAGGUGUUCUCAAACCCCGUUCCUCUUUUCUUCCUGCACACUUGGUUAGAAUACAUUUCUCACCCUCUCUUUCAGUUAGGUGAAUAGACAUGACUGAGUUCAAGUAAAAGGAGUGUGAGUUAAAAUGACACAAACCACUACACAGCAUCCUGCAUGCAGCCCUUCAUGCUGUUUUUCUUUAACAAGCUUAGCAGAGAUAAGCAUAGAAAUGUUAGAAGCAAGAGUCGAAGAUGGCUGAGCCUCAAGAAGGAAGGAGGCUAUGGCUUUAUGGAGGAGAGCUGCCUGAUUUCAUUUGUCCUGAGAGAGUGGAGGAACUGGAGAUAGUGACGAAUUCCAGUUAUGAAAUGCAGUCUCUAUGGAGUUGCCAAUUCUUCUGUUUUGUUACUGUCUUUUGGGCUCAAGUCAUUAAAAUUGUGUAAUUCUAUGCCUUUAAAAGUAUGAAGAUAUUUUUAUUUAUAUAAAUUAAGUUAUACAAAAACUGGACAAGUUGAUAAUUAUUUACUAUCUCUUUGUCAAGUUUAAUUUUAUUUUUCUCAUGUCUCAAGCUAUUUCUCUUUUUCUUUUCUAAGGCUUUGUUAAAAUUAGAAGCUGGGAAAAAUAAUUUUCAGUUGGCCUUUGGAAGUAUAUAAUGUGAAAAAUUUAUCUUCUUAAUUGAAUUGCACACUUAUGAUAUGUGUGCUUUUCUGUUUCUACAUUUCAUUUUAAAAGUUAAAAGAAAUGUAACCUUAAUAGAGUAGUUUCAAGUAUAUCUACAUAUAAGGAUUAUCUGUGCUUUUUCAAAAUUCGAGACAGAGUCUUGCUCUAUUGCCCAGGCUGGAGUGCAGUGGCACUAU
rnacentral:lncRNA from 1 species